rnacentral:rRNA from 1 species
UUGACGGGACCCGCACAAGCGGUGGAUGAUGUGGUUUAAUUCGAUGCAACGCGAAAACCUUACCCACCUUGACAUGGCAGGAAGUUACCAGAGAUGGUUCGUGCUCGAAAGAGAACCUGCACACAGGUGCUGCAUGGCUGUCGUCAGCUCGUGUCGUGAGAUGUUGGGUUAAGUCCCGCAACGAGCGCAACCCUUGCCAUCAGUUGCUACGAAAGGGCACUCUGAUGGGACUGCCGGUGACAAACCGGAGGAAGGUGGGGAUGACGUCAAGUCCUCAUGGCCCUUAUAGGUGGGGCUACACACGUCAUACAAUGGCCGGUACAAAGGGCAGCCAACCCGCGAGGGGGAGCCAAUCCCAUAAAGCCGGUCGUAGUCCGGAUCGCAGUCUGCAACUCGACUGCGUGAAGUCGGAAUCGCUAGUAAUCGCAGGUCAGCAUACUGCGGUGAAUACGUUCCCGGGCCUU